CUUCCAAAUUCUUCGGGUCCCACCGUGAUUCUCAGGAUCUUUGGCGUGACUAAAGAAAGUUCAAUGGUUUACUGGAUCUCAGGAUCUCAGGACCUAGAUCUGGAGUUGUUGGAAUGGUUCAAAUUUUGAGACAUACUGUAAUGUGGGAGUUUGGCGUGUAGAUCUGGGAUUUCUCCCUCAAAUUUGUGGAGUUUUGAUGAUUUUACUUUUUUAUCUCCAUUUUUAUGCUGCAAAUUACUCUCUGUUUCUAGGGAUUGAGAAGGGCGCGGUCCUGCAAGAAGCUAGGGGUAUUUCAUGAUCCUCAACUAGAUGUUAUAACAAAAUUGUUGUAUCUAUUAAAUCAAGGAGAAACUUUCACCAAGGUUGAGGUGACAAAGGUGUUUUUUUGCCGUGACGAAAUUGUUUCAGACGAAGGAUACUGGGUUAAGGAUAGGGGUGGCAAACGGGUCGACCCGACCCGACCCGACCCGUAUAAAAUUUGACCCGACCCGUAUAAGUGUGACCCGACCCGACCCAUUUAAUAAAUGGGUCAAUGCGAUCCGACCCGUUUAUUAAACGGGUUACCCGACCCGA